rnacentral:rRNA from 1 species
UAGGGAAUCUUCCGCAAUGGACGCAAGUCUGACGGAGCAACGCCGCGUGAGUGAAGAAGGAUUUCGGUUCGUAAAACUCUGUUGUUAGAGAAGAACAGCGCAUAGAGUAACUGUUAUGCGUGUGACGGUAUCUAACCAGAGAGCCACGGCUAACUACGUGCCAGCAGCCGCGGUAAUACGUAGGUGGCAAGCGUUGUCCGGAUUUAUUGGGCGUAAAGCGAGCGCAGGCGGUCAAUUAAGUCUGAUGUGAAAGCCCCCGGCUCAACCGGGGAGGGUCAUUGGAAACUGGUUGACUUGAGUGCAGAAGAGGAGAGUGGAAUUCCAUGUGUAGCGGUGAAAUGCGUAGAUAUAUGGAGGAACACCAGUGGCGAAGGCGACUCUCUGGUCUGUAACUGACGCUGAGGCUCGAAAGCGUGGGUAGCAAACAGG